GAUUUGCUAGCUCAGUCGGCAGAGCACAUCCCUUUUAAGGAUGGGGUCCUGGGUUCGAAUCCCAGGCAAAUCA
rnacentral:tRNA from 1 species